GUCGUAACAAGGUUUCCGUAGGUGAACCUGCGGAAGGAUCAUUACCACACCUUAAACAUAAGAAUUCGAGCGGAGGCCUCACCGCCUCCCUCGUCUUCGGUUACGUGGAACUAUUUAUUUCGGGCGAAGUCGCAAGACUCCUGCCCUCGCUGAGAGCGGCCUUCGUGUCCUCUCGGCCUAUUUUCCAUCCACUUGUUCACUCAAGUGCGAUAACCCAACACAAUCUGAUUGUAACUCAUCCAAAACAGCUCGGAGCGAUCCGACGCUGUGCAUAAGAUGAAACGAAACUAACACUUUCAGCAACGGAUGUCUUGGCUCCCA
rnacentral:misc_RNA from 1 species